UACGUAGGGUGCAAGCGUUAAUCGGAAUUACUGGGCGUAAAGCGUGCGCAGGCGGUUUUGUAAGGCUGGCGUGAAAUCCCCGGGCUUAACCUGGGAAUUGCGAUGGAGACUGCAAGGCUAGAAUCUGGCAGAGGGGGGUAGAAUUCCACGUGUAGCAGUGAAAUGCGUAGAGAUGUGGAGGAACACCGAUGGCGAAGGCAGCCCCCUGGGUCAAGAUUGACGCUCAUGCACGAAAGCGUGGGGAGCAAACAGG
rnacentral:rRNA from 1 species